AUUUCUCGACAACGGAUAUCUCGACUCUCUCAUCUAUGAAGAACGUAGCAAAAUGCGUACUUAGUGUGAAUUGCAGAAUCCCGUGAACCAGCAUUGGGUUAUGGGCUUAGAAGCAAAUGAGGGCAA
rnacentral:rRNA from 1 species